rnacentral:lncRNA from 1 species
UAUGAAUCAUGAUAUGACUUUCUUCGGUAAAUCCCAUGAACUCAGCUAUAGUCUGAAAUCCACAAUGUUCAUCGCCUAUAACAUCCGCUACUUUUUCAAUAAAUGGAACCAUGAACUUUUACAAUAUGAAAGUGCAAAAUAUAUUUUAUCCAUAUCUAUAAUUUUAAUCAAAAUCAAAAUAAUUUUAAUCAAAUUUUUAUAAAAAAAACUAUUGUUUGUAGUUUAUACACAUUAGG